GGCGCAAGCCUGAUGCAGCGACGCCGCGUGAGGGAUGGAGGCCUUCGGGUUGUGAACCUCUGUCGCCGGUGAUGUAGGCUCUGCUUUGUGGGUGGGGUUGACGGUAGCCGGGGUAUGAAGUGCCGGCUAACUACGUGCCAGCAGCCGCGGUAAUACGUAGGGCGCGAGCGUUGUCCGGAAUUAUUGGGCGUAAAGAGCUCGUAGGCGGCUGGUCGCGUCUGUCGUGAAAUCCUCUGGCUUAACUGGGGGCGUGCGGUGGGUACGGGCCGGCUUGAGUGCGGUAGGGGAGGCUGGAAUUCCUGGUGUAGCGGUGGAAUGCGCAGAUAUCAGGAGGAACACCGGUGGCGAAGGCGGGUCUCUGGGCCGUGUACUGACGCUGAGGAGCGAAAGCGUGGGGAGCGAACAGGAUUAGAUACCCUGGUAGUCCAUGCUGUAAACGUUGGGCACUAGGUGUGGGGGGUCUUUCCGGGUCUUCCGCGCCGUAGCUAACGCAUUAAGUGCCCCGCCUGGGGAGUACGGCCGCAAGGCUAAAACUCAAAGGAAUUGACGGGGGCCCGCACAAGCGGCGGAGCAUGCGGAUUAAUUCGAUGCAACGCGAAGAACCUUACCAAGGCUUGACAUGGGCCGGUGGUUCCCGGAGACGGGAGCGUCCCCUUUU
rnacentral:rRNA from 1 species